GAUGAACGCUGGCGGCGUGCCUAGUACAUGCAAGUCGAGCGAACGGACGAGAAGCUUGCUUCUCUGAUGUUAGCGGCGGACGGGUGAGUAACACGUGGAUAACCUACCUAUAAGACUGGGAUAACUUCGGGAAACCGGAGCUAAUACCGGAUGAUAUUUUGAACCGCAUGGUUCAAAAGUGAAAGACGGUCUCGCUGUCACUUAUAGAUGGAUCCGCGCUGCAUUAGCUAGUUGGUAAGGUAACGGCUUACCAAGGCAACGAUGCAUAGCCGACCUGAGAGGGUGAUCGGCCACACUGGAACUGAGACACGGUCCAGACUCCUACGGGAGGCAGCAGUAGGGAAUCUUCCGCAAUGGGCGAAAGCCUGACGGAGCAACGCCGCGUGAGUGAUGAAGGUCUUCGGAUCGUAAAACUCUGUUAUUAGGGAAGAACAUAUGUGUAAGUAACUGUGCACAUCUUGACGGUACCUAAUCAGAAAGCCACGGCUAACUACGUG
rnacentral:rRNA from 1 species